rnacentral:lncRNA from 1 species
CCCAGAAGUUGUUGGUGCCCUGGUCCGGGUCCAAAAAGCCCUGAUGGUGCAGGUUAUGGCAUCGGGGAGGCACCGGAGAUCUAACCAUAGCCACCAGGUUUGCUGGAGCAUGGAGAGGGGUGGAACCACAGGGGGCCAGAGGUAGGAAGCCCUGCUCACCACGCGACAAGCGCUAGCCAGAGCCGCCUGCGUGUGCAGUAGCAUCUCGUGGCAUGAGGGACCUUGUGGUCCAGGCCUCACUGCAGCGCACCCAACCGUCUCCUCCGGGCUGGCCCUGCAGAAACCGCGGAGGGGAACGGGCACGGGGGCAGCACCAAAGGUGUGGACGUGGGAAGCCUUGGGAUGUUUCGGGCUUUGGGGUCUGGCCGUGGUUAAGGCCACCUAGGAGGCCGGCCAGCCCUGGUGCCGAGAAGGAGCAGCCAGUGAGGUGGGAGCCAGCGCGGGCCCGAGGACGAGCGUUUCCUGGGGGAGGUGUGUUGGCUGCAUCACAUGUUGGUGACCUUGGCUUCGGCAAGAUGGAGCUCCUCGUUGUCCCCAAGAGCAGUGUCAGUGGCGGGUGGGGACAGCUUGGGACCGAAGGGGGCUGAGGGGCGUGCCGGAGGAUGUGAUGGGGGUGGCUGAGGGGGGUGGGGCAUCUGGGUGCUUUUCCCCCGAGGGAUGGAGAGGGCUGAGCCUGCUGGAAGCAGGAAGCAGUGGCAGAUGCCGCAGAGAUAGAAAGCGGUUGCCAAAGAGGCAGAGGGAACGGGCCGGGGCCUGGGUGAGCAGGUGGGGACGCAGAGGGAAGGGCGUGGACUCUGCACAUCGGGUUUGGUGGCAGGAUGGCGAGCAAAGGCCACCAAGAAGCAGGUGGGCGAGGCAGUGACUCGCCCCAGGUCAAGGGACUGCUUUUCCCACCCUCGCCCGCCCAGCACCCGGAACGAUGACUUAUCCAUGUGACAAUCUGAUGAUGGGCGGUGGCAGCACCGUGGGAAGGCAGCUGGAAGGAAGUCUGAGUUCAGAAACGUACAAGUUCCAACACACAGCUCUGCUUGUUUUUCCCAGGCCAGGCUGGGCAGGCAGAAGCCCUGAAGCCAUGGAAACGACACAGACCACCUGUCCCGCCCCGGCUCUGCUCUGCCCAGUGGCUUUCUUCGUCUCUGCAGACCUCCUGGCGUGCUGGCCCUGCCCCAGCUGGGCUCCGGGCAGAACAGCCCUCCCCGGCCUGGCCCCCGCCCACCCGGGACCGCCGCUGGGCUGGCGCAGAGAAAACUCUGGGGUCCCUCGCUGCUCCCAGCACUCGGGCUUCUCGGUCCUCGGCCCCUUCCCUCCUCCUCCAGCCAGUCUCGGGGGCCCAGGAGGGAGGCCAGCUCCGAAGUGCUCUCUGAUCAGAGCUGCCCCCAAGAUGAAGCGGGCUACCUUGAAAGGUGGUGACCUCCCCGUCACAUGAGACAUGCAAGAGUAGAGCCCUGAAGCUGCUGUAAGAGAAUCCUGGGUCUGUGUGGGGAAAAUGAACUGACUGAAUAAAUGAGUGUGGGAUGAGUCCUUUCUCUCA